rnacentral:rRNA from 1 species
AGAGUUUGAUCCUGGCUCAGGAUGAACGCUGGCGGCGUGCCUAAUACAUGCAAGUCGAACGGAAGGUAGCAAUACCUUUAGUGGCGAACGGGUGAGUAACGCGUUGGUGACCUGCCCCGAAGCGUGGGAUAACAGUCCGAAAGGAUUGCUAAUACCGCAUGUGGUCCAAGAGACUAGAGGCUUAUGGACUAAAGGAGACAUUCACUUCGGGAGGGGCCUGCGUCCCAUCAGCUAGUUGGUAGGGUAACGGCCUACCAAGGCGAUGACGGGUAGGGGACCUGAGAGGGUGGCCCCCCACAAUGGAACUGAAACACGGUCCAUACACCUACGGGUGGCAGCAGUAGGGAAUAUUGCAAAAUGGGCGCAAGCCCGAUGCAGCAACGCCGCGUGGGCGAUGAAGGCCUUCGGGUCGUAAAGCCCUUUUUGAGGGGAUGAGGAAGGACAGUACCCUCAGAAUAAGCCUCGGCUAACUACGUGCCAGCAGCCGCGGUAA